AGGGAAGUCUUGACAAAGUUGGGCGAAGGGAAGCUGCUGAGGAGCCCUGAGGGGCAGUUCAGGAAAUUAAUUCUAUGAGAUCGCAAGGGGGAGGAGGAUAGGAAAGGGGGCACUCAGACGGCUGAAUGGGGAAGGGGAACAGCCCAGGGAGAGCGCCCACGCGGAAUCUCCUCCAGGGCUACAAAGAAAGAUAUUGCUCUCAAUGGUGCCCAGAGACAUCUCACAUCUUCCAGCACAUUAAAGAACCACCCAAACCAUUCUCCAUGGGCUCUCCAGGUCAUUCCAAGAUUUUACUGCAUUGCUGCAGAACACCGCCACCUUUCUUGCCAGCUGGGGCUCCAUUACAAUGAAUCAGCAGCAAUGUUGGCAGCUGGGGUCGCUAAAUGUGAACGCUGGGGAUGGUGCUUACGUGGCAGAGGUGGAGAUGGAAUGAUUUGGAGAGGGUAACUAAUAAUAUACAACAUCUGAUGCAGAAGUGUUGCCAAUGAUUAAUUCUUAUAUUUUCCUCGUGUCUCAGGACAAGACAGUAAUACAUUGUGGUGAUGGAAUUGGUUGCACUGCAUUGAAUUUUAAAGAAAAAUAGAAAGGGAAGUAUUCAGUUUCAUUAGACCAGGUUCAAAUUUCUCCCUGACUUCUAUUUCAGCCUUCUGCUUCAGGGUCUAACUGGCCUGCCUGCGGCACCAUAUGCUUGCAUUUGACAUUGGUUUUACUAAUACCUUUGGAAAUAUAGAGCUAGAAGGAUUAUAUUGUAAAUCCUGAGAAGUAGAGUGUUACCGUGGGAAGGGCAAUGGAUUUGGAGUUCUGCUACUUAGGACCUGUGUGACCUUGAGUAAGUACUUAACCUCUUUGGGCCUCAACUUCCCCAUUUAUAAAAUGAAGGGGUUAGACUACAUGGCCUGAAAAGUCCCAUCCAGCUCUGAAUUUAUAAUUCUGUGACCUUCUCAUAUAUGUCUGUAAGGAACAGAGCUGGGAUUUGAACCCAGGCUGUUUAACUCCAAAGACUCAGCAUUUGUUUGAUUUCCCAACACUAUUUUCAAGGUGAAAAAGCUUUUUCAGUCAAAGUUAAGUGACAAAAGGUAACUUAGUCACCAAUAACUAUCUUGAAGCGGGC
rnacentral:lncRNA from 1 species